CAGCUCCUCCCGGCAGCUUCAGAUUUCCCAGGCAGCCCGUGGGCCUGGAACCCCGCUUGGAUAAGGGAAGGAAAAAUACAUUCAUUGUAUCCCUUUCCCACAAGCCACUACAAUCCUAUCUUUGUUCCUCGCUUGCAGCCAAUGAUGGGGAAAUGGAAGGGCGUUCGAAUUCCUGUCAAGCCUUUAAGAGAAGCCCCCCAGAACCCUGGGGAAAGGAGGCUGGCCGGCAGGGAAGGGCCCCAUGGAGCACUGGCCUGGGGGUGCGCCUGGCGUGUUGCGAGUGUGCGUGCAGGCAGCGCCGGGCUCGAGAAGGAGUGACGUACAGAUGGACGGCUCUCCUGCCUACUGGCCUAAGCGGUCAGUCACUCAGCUACAUGGGCCAGGGCUGCGGGAGGCUCCAGAAACAGCCACUGCCCACAGCCCGGGCAUUUGCAGUAGAUAUUUCACUGUCCCCUGCCCCGACUCCUCCUGGCCAUUUCCUGGAAGCUCUUGUUGCCACAGCCACAUGAACACAAACCUCCACCCAGCGCUGACCAAGAGCCAGGCCCUACCCCAGGACCUCACAGAUGUCACUUUAGUGAUCCUUUCAGCAACCUAAUGAGGUAGGACUAUCAUUAUUCCCUCUUCACAGAUGGGGAAACUGAGGCACGGGGCUGUAAAGUGACUUGCCCAAGGCCCCACUGGCAGUCAAUGGCAGAGCCAGGUACCCUCCCAGAGAUGCUCACGCCCUAAUCCUCAGGAUCUGCAAACAUGUCACCUUUCACGACAAAAGGACUUUGCAAAUACGCUGAAACAUCUUAAGAUGGCAAAAUUCUCCCAGGUCGUCUCAGUGGGUCCAAGGUAAGCACAAGGGUCUUCAUGAGAGGAAGAAGGAGGUCUAAGUCGGAAAGGGACCUGGCCAGGUGCAGUGGCUCACGCCUGUAACUCCAGCACUUCGGAAGGCCGAGGUGGUAGGAUCGCUUGAGCCCAGGCGUUCGAGACCACAAAAUAGCUAUCCUUGUUAAGUCUGAACAUGUAGGAUGUAAA
rnacentral:lncRNA from 1 species